GCUUCGUUAGCUCAGUUGGUAGAGCGUCAGUCUCAUAUUAUGCAAGUAAUCUGAAGGUCGAGAGUUCGAGCCUCCCACGGAGCA
rnacentral:tRNA from 1 species